rnacentral:rRNA from 1 species
CUGAAAUUCGCCUUCAUGAAGCUGGAAUUGCUAGUAAUGGCAGGUCAGCAUACUGCCGUGAAUACGUUCCCGGGCCUUGUACACACCGCCCGUCACACCAUGGGAGCCGGUAAUACCCGAAGUCAGUAGUCCAACCUCGUGAGGACGCUGCCGAAGGUAGGAUUGGCGACUGGGGUGAAGUCGUAACAAGGUACC